rnacentral:rRNA from 1 species
GGGGAAUUUUGGACAAUGGGCGCAAGCCUGAUCCAGCCAUGCCGCGUGCGGGAAGAAGGCCUUCGGGUUGUAAACCGCUUUUGUCAGGGAAGAAAUCUUCUGGGAUAAUACCUCGGGAGGAUGACGGUACCUGAAGAAUAAGCACCGGCUAACUACGUGCCAGCAGCCGCGGUAAUACGUAGGGUGCAAGCGUUAAUCGGAAUUACUGGGCGUAAAGCGUGCGCAGGCGGUUGUGCAAGACAGGUGUGAAAUCCCCGGGCUUAACCUGGGAACUGCACUUGUGACUGCACGGCUGGAGUACGGCAGAGGGGGAUGGAAUUCCGCGUGUAGCAGUGAAAUGCGUAGAUAUGCGGAGGAACACCGAUGGCGAAGGCAAUCCCCUGGGCCUGUACUGACGCUCAUGCACGAAAGCGUGGGGAGCAAAC